UCCUUGAAAAUUCACCCUUCGGGAUUCACCUCUCAAAUUUCACCUGUCGGGAUUCACCCUUCAAAAUUCACCUGUCGGGAUUCACCUGUUGGGAUUCACCUGUCAUGAUUCGCCCUUCAGGAUUCGCCCUUCAGGAUUCACCUCCCAAAAUUCACCUGUCAGGAUUCACAUUUCCAAUUUCACCUGUUGGGAUUCGCCCUUCAAAAUUCACCUGUCGGGAUUCGCCCUUCAGGAUUCGCCCUUCAAAAUUCAUCCUUCAGAUUUCACCUCUCAAAUUUCACCUGUCGGGAUUCGCCCUUCAGGAUUUAUCCUUGAAAAUUCACCCUUCGGGAUUCACCUUUCAAAAUUCACCUGUCAGGAUUCACCUUUCAAAUUUCACCUGUCAGGAUUCGCUCUUCAGGAUUCACCUCCCAAAAUUCGCCUGUCGGGAUUCGCCUGUCAGGAUUCGCCCUUCAAAAUUCACCUGUCGGGAUUCGCCCUUCAGGAUUCGCCUCCCAAAUUUCACCUGUCAGGAUUCGUCCUUCAAAAUUCAUCCUUCAGAUUUCACCUCUCAAAUUUCACCUGUCGGGAUUCACCUGUUGGGAUUCACCUGUCAUGAUUCGCCCUUCAGGAUUCACCUCCCAAAAUUCACCUGUCAGGAUUCACAUUUCCAAUUUCACCCUUCGGGAUUCGCCCUGCAGGAUUCGCCUGUCAGGAUUCGCCCUUCAAAAUUCACCUGUCAGGAUUCACCUCCCAAAAUUCACCUGUCGGGAUUCACCUGUUGGGAUUCGCCCUUCAAAAUUCACCUGUCGGGAUUCGCCCUUCAAAAUUCACCCGUCAGGAUUCACCUUUCAAAUUUCACCUGUCAGGAUUCACCUCCCAAAAUUCACCUGUCGGGAUUUGCCCUUCAAAAUUCACCUGUCGGGAUUCACCUCUCAAAAAUCCACCUUUGA
rnacentral:lncRNA from 1 species